CCAACCAACCCUGAAGUCCUGGGAAUUCAUCUCCUCGAGGUCUCUCAAUUCAGCCUUCCCCCAACUCCACUGCCUUGCCUGUCCCCACUCCUCACCUGGUUUUGUAUGGCUCCUUCUUCAAACCUUCUACCAAGCCAUCUCUCCACUCUCUAAGUCCUCACACUGUGGCCAGCACUGUCUAAAACCCAAAGCCCGUCAAGUACCAGGACAGGCAUGCACCCCCACUGCCUACAGGAUAAAGGCUGAACCCUUGGGAUUUCUGAGGGCCCAAGUGAGUUCCAGGAAUCAUGGGAGAGACAAGAGAAAUGGCAGACAUUGCUUCUGUUCCCAGAGAGUCACAAAAAAACCUAGGAAGACAGAGAAACACAGGAAGCUGCCUGUGAGGCACACCCACAGCCCAUAAAUGCAGUCUACUCGUGAGAAAAAACAUCAGGCAAAUCCCAAGCGAGGGACAUUCUACAAAACAGCCGACCAGUUCUCAAAAACACGGGAAGUCUGAGACGCCGUCACAGCUAAGGGAAGCCUGAGGAGACGCACCGACUACAGGUGGCGCUCUAAGACAUAACAUCAAGAUGAGGGUACUAUGCAUCAGCGAGACCUCAGCACCUGGGUCCUGGAUUCCAGUCCUCACCCUGAGGGAUCAUCUUG